rnacentral:rRNA from 1 species
UGGGGAAUUUUGGACAAUGGGCGCAAGCCUGAUCCAGCCAUGCCGCGUGCAGGAUGAAGGCCUUCGGGUUGUAAACUGCUUUUGUACGGAACGAAAAGUCUCUUUCUAAUAAAGAGGGACCAUGACGGUACCGUAAGAAUAAGCACCGGCUAACUACGUGCCAGCAGCCGCGGUAAUACGUAGGGUGCAAGCGUUAAUCGGAAUUACUGGGCGUAAAGCGUGCGCAGGCGGUGAUGUAAGACAGUUGUGAAAUCCCCGGGCUCAACCUGGGAACUGCAUCUGUGACUGCAUCGCUGGAGUGCGGCAGAGGGGGAUGGAAUUCCGCGUGUAGCAGUGAAAUGCGUAGAUAUGCGGAGGAACACCGAUGGCGAAGGCAAUCCCCUGGGCCUGCACUGACGCUCAUGCACGAAAGCGUGGGGAGCAAAC